GUCUACAGCCAUACCACCUUGAAUGUGCCUGAUCUCAUCUGAUCUCAGAAGCUAAGCAGGGUUGGACCUGGUUAGUACUUGGAUGAGAAUAAAGCAGUGUCCUUAUUCUACACA
ensembl:rRNA 5S_rRNA 5S ribosomal RNA